rnacentral:rRNA from 1 species
UACGUAGGGUGCAAGCGUUGUCCGGAAUUAUUGGGCGUAAAGAGCUCGUAGGCGGUUUGUCGCGUCUGCUGUGAAAACCCGAGGCUCAACCUCGGGCCUGCAGUGGGUACGGGCAAACUAGAGUGCGGUAGGGGAGAUUGGAAUUCCUGGUGUAGCGGUGGAAUGCGCAGAUAUCAGGAGGAACACCGAUGGCGAAGGCAGAUCUCUGGGCCGUAGCUGACGCUGAGGAGCGAAAGCGUGGGGAGCGAACAGG